rnacentral:rRNA from 1 species
AGUGAACGCUGGCGGUAGGCCUAACACAUGCAAGUCGAACGGCAGCACAGUAAGAGCUUGCUCUUACGGGUGGCGAGUGGCGGAAGGGUGAGGAAUACAUCGGGAUCUACUUUUUCGUGGGGGAUAACGUAGGGAAACUUACGCUAAUACAGCAUACGCCCUACGGGUGAAAGCAGGGGAUCUUCGCACCUUGCGCGAUUGAAUGAGCCGCUGUCGGAUUAGCUAGUUGGCGGGGUAAAGGCCCACCUAGGCGACGAUCCGUAGCUGGUCUGAGAGGAUGAUCAGCCACAUUGGAACUGAGACACGGUCCAGACUCCUACGGGAGGGAGCAGUGGGGAAUAGUGGACAAUGGGCGCAAGCCUGAUCCAGCCAUACCGCGUGGGUGAAGAAGGCCUUCGGGUUGGAAAGCCCGUCUGUUGGGAAAGAAAAGCAUCAGGUUAAUACCCCGCUGUUCUGACGGUACCGAAAGAAUAAGCACCGGCUAACUUCGUG